AGUCGAACGGAGAUUACAGGCGGAAGUUUUCGGAUGGAAGCUUGUAAACUUAGUGGCGGACGGGUGAGUAACACGUGAGCAACCUGCCUACCAGAGGGGGAUAACGAUUGGAAACGAUCGCUAAUACCGCAUGACAUAGCGGAAUCGCAUGGUUCUGUUAUCAAAGAUUUUAUCGCUGAUAGAUGGGCUCGCGUCCGAUUAGAUAGUUGGUGGGGUAACGGCCUACCAAGUCGACGAUCGGCAGCCGGACUGAGAGGUCGAACGGCCACAUUGGGACUGAGACACGGCCCAGACUCCUACGGGAGGCAGCAGUGGGGGAUAUUGCACAAUGGGGGAAACCCUGAUGCAGCGACGCCGCGUGAGGGAAGACGGUCCUCUGGAUUGUAAACCUCUGUCUUCGGGGACGAAACGAGACGGUACCCGAGGAGGAAGCCACGGCUAACUACGUGCCAGCAGCCGCGGUAAUACGUAGGUGGCAAGCGUUGUCCGGAAUUACUGGGUGUAAAGGGAGCGUAGGCGGGCAGGCAAGUCAGGCGUGAAAUAUAUCGGCUCAACCGGUAACGGCGCUUGAAACUGCAGGUCUUGAGUGAAGUAGAGGUUGGCGGAAUUCCUAGUGUAGCGGUGAAAUGCGUAGAUAUUAG
rnacentral:rRNA from 1 species